CCUAUAUACCAGUUAAUACAGGUGUGUGUCCAGGUGAAGCAGCAUACGUACCUAUAUACCAGUUAAUACAGGUGUGUGUCCAGGUGAAGCAGCAUACGUACCUAUAUACCAGUUAAUACAGGUGUGUGUCCAGGUGAAGCAACAUACGUACCUAUAUACCAGUUAAUACAGGUGUGUGUCCAGGUGAAGCAGCAUACGUACCUAUAUACCAGUUAAUACAGGUGUGUGUCCAGGUGAAGCAACAUACGUACCUAUAUACCAGUUAAUACAGGUGUGUGUCCAGGUGAAGCAGCAUACGUACCUAUAUACCAGUUAAUACAGGUGUGUGUCCAGGUGAAGCAGCAUACGUACCUAUAUACCAGUUAAUACAGGUGUGUGUCCAGGUGAAGCAGCAUACGUACCUAUAUACCAGUUAAUACAGGUGUGUCCAGGUGAAACAGCAUACGUACCUAUAUACCAGUUAAUACAGGUGUGUGUCCAGGUGAAGCAGCAUACGUACCUAUAUACCAGUUAAUACAGGUGUGUCCAGGUGAAACAGCAUACGUACCUAUAUA